GGGUAGCGAGAGGCGUCGGGAUCGCGGGCGCCGGCUGAGCCAGCGGCUGCUGGGAGGCUGUGUGCGCACGCCUGCGGGGCGAGGAGGCCGGGCCCUGCGCCUCAGGCCUGAGAACUGGGAGGAAGCUGGAGAAAAGAUGCCCUCUGAAUAUUUGUGUUUGGCUGCCCAGGCUCGCCUUGACUCCAAAUGGUUGAAAACAGAUAUACAGAUGGAGUCUUGCUCUGUUGCCCAGGCUAGAGUGCAGUGGUGCCAUCUCGGCUUACCGCAAGCUCCGCCUCCCGGGUUCACGCCAUUGUCCUGCCUCAGCGUCCCGAGUACCUGGAACUAUAGGUGUCCACCAUCAUACCUGGCCAAUUUUUUGUAUUUUCAGUAGAGACGGGGUUUCACUGUGUCAGCCAAGAUGGUCUCCAUCUUCUGACCUCGUGAUCCACCGGCCUUGGCCUCUUAGAGUGCUGGGAUUACAGGCAUAAGCCACCACUCCCGGCCGAUAUAUUGGUUUGUUUAUGAAAAUUAUACUGGAUCUGUUACAGAUGAUAGUGUCAAACCAAGUGGAACAAAGAAAGAAGAUCUGGAUGACAAAGAGAAAAAAGAUGAAACUCCUGCACCUGUAUAUAGGGCCAAGUCAAUUCUGGAGAGCUGGGUAUGGGAGUAAGCAACCAGGGAUGUUCACGGAACGCCAGACACCAAAAGGCCAGAAGCAUGCCCCUGCAGGACCAGCACUUGGCUCUGGCCAUCCUGCUGGAGCUGGCUGUGCAGAGAGGCACGCUGAGCCAAAUGUUGUCUGCCAUCCUGUUGUUGCUUCAGCUGUGGGACAGCAGGGCACAGGAAACUGACAAUGAGCGUUCUGCCCAGGGCACCAGCACCUUGCUUUUGUCCUUGCUGCAAACGUUCCAGAGCAUCAUUUGCAGUAAGGAUACGCCCCCCUCCGAGGGCAACAUGCACCUUUUGUCUGGCCCUCUGAGCCCCAGUGAGAGUUUCCUGAGGUACCUCACCCUCCACAAGACAACGAGCUUGCCAUUGAUCUGCAACAAACGGCGGUUGUUGUCAUGGCCCAUUUAGAAGAUCUGGCUACACCCUGUAGAUGCCUCUGCCGUGUAGCUGUCCGACGUCUCAUAAGAGAGUCAUUUUUUACAGUUCAGAACUGUAGAAAUAAUGAGGAAGUGACACUUAUAUGCAAAGCUGAUUUGGAGAACCAUAAUAAAGAUGGAGGCUUCUGGAUUGUGAUUGAUGAGAAAGUGUAUGAUAUAAAGGACUUCCAGACACAGUCGUUAACAGGAAAUAGUAUUCUUGCUCAGUUUGCAGGGGAAAACCCAGUGGUAGCUUUGGAAGCUGCUUUCGAGUUUGAAGUCACCCGGGAAUCCAUGCACGCAUUUUGUGUUGGCCAAUAUUUGGAGCCUGACCAAGAAGUUGUCACCAUACCAGAUCCGGGAAGUCUCUCUUCACCUCUGAUAGACACAGAGAGGAAUCUGGGCCUGCUUCUCGGAUUACACACUUCCUAUUUAGCAAUGAGCACACCGCUGUCUCCUGUCGAGAUUGAAUGUGCCAAAUGGCUUCAGUCAUCCAUCUUCUCUGGAGGCUGCAGACCAGCCAGAUCCACUACAGCUACAACGAGGAGAAAGAUGAGGACCACUGCAGCUCCCAGUGGGCACACCUGCCAGCAAAUCGCGACUGCUCCCACAGAUGGGCCCUGGGGGACCAUUCUCAGGCAUUUCUGCAAGCCAUUGCAGACAAUAACAUUCAGGAUCACAACGUGAAGGGCUUUUUGUGUCAAAUAGAAAGGUACUGUAGGCAGUGCCAUUUGACCACACCGAUCAUGUUUCCCCCCGAGCACCCCGUGGAAGAGGUCGGUCGCUUGCUGUUAUGUUGCUUCUUAAAACAUGAAGAUUUAGGUCAUGUGGCAUUAUCUUUAGUUCAUGCAGGUGCACUUGAUAUUGAGCAAAUAAAGCACAGAACGUUGCCUAAGUCAGUGGUGGAUGUUUGUAGAGUUGUCUACCAAGCAAAAUGUUCGCUCAUUAAGACUCAUCAAGAACAGGGCCGUUCUUACAAGGAGGUCUGCACUCCUGUCAUCGAACGUUUGAGAUUCCUCUCUAAUGAAUUGAGACCUGCUGUUGGUAAUGACCUCUCUAUAAUCUCUGAGUUUAAAUUGUUAAGUUCUUUGCCCCGUUGGAGGAGGAUAGCUCAGAAGAUAAUUCGGGAACGGAGGAAAAAGAGAAUUCCUAAGAAGCCAGAAUCUACGGCUGAUGAAGAAAAAAUUGGAAACGAAGAGAGUGAUUUAGAAGAAGCCUGCAUUUUGCCUCAUAGUCCAAUAAAUGUGGACAAGAGACCCAUUGCAAUUAAAUCACCCAAGGACAAAUGGCAGCCACUGUUGAGUACUGUUACAGGGGUUCACAGAUACAAGUGGUUGAAGCAGAAUGUUCAGGAUCUUUAUCCGCAGUCUCCACUCCUCAGUACAAUUGCUGAAUUUGCCCUUAAGGAAGAGCCAGUGGAUGUGGAAAAAAUGAGAUAGUGCCUACUAAAACAGAUAACAUUUGAUGAGAAAUGCUUCUCUGCAGUGGGUAAUAUACAUAACACUUAACUGUAUAUGCAUUGAUAUUUUGCAGUUGGAGAGAGCAGAGGUUCGCCUGGAAGGGAUAGAUACAAUUUUGAAAUUGUAUCUGGUGAGCAAGAAUUUCUUACUUCCAUCUGUGCAGUAAGCGAUGUUUUGUGGAUGGCAAAGACUUAUUCCUGAAGGAAUCGAUAUAGGGGAACCUCUUACUGAUUGUUUAAAGGAUGUUGAUUUGAUCCCACCUUUUAAUCGGAUGCUGCUGGAAGUCACCUUUGGCAAGCUGUAUGCUUGGACUGUUCAGAACAUUCUAAAUGUUCUGAUGGAUGCCAGUGCCAAAUUUAAAGAGCUUGGUAUCCAGCCGGUUCCCCUGCAGACCAUCACCAGUGAGAACCCAUUGGGACCGAGCCUGGGGAGCAUCCCGCAAGCCCGCUUCCUCCUGAUGAUGCUCAGCAUGCUCACCCUGCAGCACAGCGCAAACAACCUCGACCUCCUGCUCAAUUCCGGCACGCUGGCCCUCACUCAGACGGCACUGCGCCUGAUUGGCCCCAGUUGUGACAAUGUUGAGGAAGAUAUGAAUGCUUCUGCUCAAGGUGUUUCUGCCACAGUUUUGGAAGCAACAAGGAAGGAAACGGCUCCUGUGCAUCUCCCUGUUUCAGGGCCAGAACUGGCUGCCACGAUGAAGAUUGGAACGAGGGUCAUGAGAGGUGUGGACUGGAAAUGGGGCGAUCAGGAUGGGCCUCCUCCAGGCCUAGGCCGAGUGAUUGGUGAGCUGGGAGAGGACGGGUGGAUAAGAGUCCAGUGGGGCACGGGCAGCACCAACUCCUACAGGAUGGGGAAAGAAGGAAAAUACGACCUCAAGCUGGCAGAGCUGCCGGCCGCUGCACAGCCCUCAGCAGAGGAUUCGGACACAGAGGACGACUCUGAAGCUGAACAAACUGAAAGGAACAUUCACCCCACUACAAUGAUGUUUACCAGCACUAUUAACUUACUGCAGACUCUUUGUCUGCCUGCCAGAGUUCAUGCUGAGAUCAUGCAGAGCGAAGCCACCAAGACUUUAUGCGGACUGCUGCAAAUAUUAGUGGAAAGCGGAACGACGGACAAGACACCUUCUCCAAACAGGCUGGUGUACAGGGAGCAACACCGGAGCUGGUGCAUGCUGGGGUUUGUGCGGAGCAUCGCUCUCACGCCGCAGGUGUGCGGCGCCCUCAGCUCCCCGCAGUGGAUCACGCUGCUCAUGAAGGUCAUGAAAGGGCACGCACCCUUCCCUGCCGCCUCGCUGCAGAGGCAGAUCUUAGCUGUGCAUUUGUUGCAAGCAGUCCUUCGGUCAUGGGACAAGACCAAAAGGGCGAGGGACAUGAAAUGCCUGGUGGAGAAGCUGUUUGACUUCUUGGGGAGCUUGCUCACUACCUGCUCCUCUGACGUGCCAUUACUCAGAGAGUCCAUGCCGAGGUGGCGCAGGGUGCGCCCGCAGGCCUUGCUGACUGCCACCCAUAGCAGCACACUGGUGGAGGUGGUGGUGGCACUGCUGUGCACGCUGCACUCCCUGACUCAGUGGAAUGGGCUCAUCAACAAGUACAUCAACUCCCAGCUCCGCUCCAUCACCCACAGCUUUGCGGGAAGGCCUUCUGAAGGGGCCCAGUUAGAGGACUACUUCCCCGACUCCGAGAACCCUGAAGUGGGGGGCCUCAUGGCGGUCCUGGCUGUGAUUGGAGGCAUCGAUGGUCGCCUGUGCCUGGGCGGCCAAAUUGUGCACGAUGAGUUUGGAGAAGGCACUGUGACUGGCAUCACCCCGAAGGGCAAAAUCACCGUGCAGUUCUCUGACAUGCGGACGUGUCACAUUUGCCCAUUGAAUCAGCUGAAACCAGU